rnacentral:lncRNA from 1 species
AUGUUUUCUCAAGUUAUUUAUCAUCAUGAAAUGCUUGUAGUUCCAGAUCUCAGAUUCCCGAAGCUCUCAUCUUACUGCAACAGCAGACAUGAACUCGAGGAAUCACCACCCACCCAUGGCUCAGCUGGAGGAGGCUCCAGGGUGGGAUGGAUGAGAUCAGUUGUUGCUUACCCACACGCAACCAGGAUUCCAAGACCAGAUUGCUCUGAGUGUCCACUUCAAACGAAUGGAGAAGUCCCCAGAAUGAUCUCCAUGGACUUGGACUUGCACGUCACCUGGCAGUAUCUCCUGCCCAUAGGAGGCCAGAUCUGCAGGAGAGAGCUAAAAGUAUCCCAUUCCCAUUGGGAGCAGAGACCUGAGACAGCAGCAGAAGGACAGAUGGAAACCCAGCAUGGCCUAACCCCUGCAAACAUAUUCCUGCAUGAUAUACACCAUUAAAGAAAAAAGAUGAAACUAAAGAAGGGGGAAAUCAUCAGCCUGGAUCUUUGGGUGCCGCGCUUCAUGGCUGGCACUGCUGGAAUGGGAUUUCUGACCAUUCUCUCCAGACAGCCAACACAAGAGACCAAGAGAUGGCCCUACAAGCUGACUUUGUGUCCAUUUUCUCAUCUGAUUAGUUGUAGAUUGUUCUAGACAGAUUAUUUUGGAAGUCCCUUUCACAAGUGGGAAUCCAAGACAGAGAGAGCCCUUUUGCCUUGGAGGAAUGUCUCGCUAUUUUCUCUGCUUCACUUUGGGUCUCCUCUUUGGAAUUCAUCUCACCUGACUUCCAGUGUUUCAAAUAUAGACAUUUCCACCCAGGCACAUCACCCUUAAGCCCAUCUGGCAAAGUCUGGCUCUUCUCCAUGUGGCUGGAUAACUCCUAGCCCUUAUUCUGGCUGGUUCUUGGCCAUACUCUUCCUUGGAGAUGGCACUUGGCAUCCAGCACUUUGCCUCAUUUGGCUAGAUCCUGCCCUUGGCCACACGCCACUGGGGUUUGCACCCUUUUCUCCAUCAUUAUCACUCUACUCAUCUACUCUUCCAAGCUUUGCCCUGCUUUUCUUCCUCCUGUUUGUGGUGCAGAUGGCUUGCAUGACCUCAUGGCAUUGCUGGAGCACUGUCAGGGAGCCCAGGGGGUCCUUUCUUGCUUCUCUUCUGUCCUCAACAGGAUUCUAAACCCCUUUGGGAAAUAGGUUUCCUGUCCAUCCCCCAUCACUUGAGCACAUUCACACCAUGUCUCCUUAUUGCUGUUGCAAUAAACAUACCAGGCAAACCCA